GCGUCUCCGUCCUGCACAUCUCGCGCUCCCUCCUCCUCGGCUCCUCCCAAACCCCACCCUCCCCUGCUUGCCCGCGGCUCCGGCGACAGCCGCUUUGCACUCCGGUUCCCUCCACCGCCGCUCCAAAGGUCCAGGUAAGCGCGCUCCCUCCCCCUCCUCCCUCCCCCGCCCGUUCGUAGCUCCGGUGACAGCCGCCAUCGCUUCGGGCUCCAGAUCCCAGCGCCAGCGCCCCAAAGGUCCAGGUAAGCGGAGGCGGAUCUUCCCCUUCUCCCCCAUUCGUUUUCCUUGCUAGGGUUCAUCGUCCCCUCCUCAUUCCCUUCCCGACGAGCUCUCUCCCCAUUGCUAGGGUUCGUCGUGCUGGGGUUGGAGUAGACACGGCUGCGGCGGUGGCUCUUCCCCUUCCCCCCUCAUCCAUUUUUCCUUGCUGGGGUUUGACUAGACACAGAAAUUCCUCAUGCUACCAUUUAGGGUUUAGGGUUGGUUCUCCUACGUUUCAGCCUCAAGGUAUCAAUGAUUCUGAGGCAUACGACAUAUUUUUUGCGGUACGACAUGUAGCAACUACAAACCUGCUUGGGAUUGUUGUCUUUUGGGUCUGGGUGUGGAGGUAUUUGAAGAUAUGAAGAAUAAUGUCUGAAUUGGACCACACUAAUUGUUGUUGACAUGUUCUGCCAUAUGGAGAUGGAAAGUGAUGCCACUUUUCUUUGCAACAUUAUCAACAUCUAUCCAUUAUUAACGUCUAUCCAUAUUUGACUAUCUAAUCUUAACGACGUGAUGUUUAUUUUUCUCAUAUUCUCAAAGGGGAACACUCACAUUCCAAGCGCAUCUCUCAAGGUGCCCAAGAUAUACUAAGCAAAAAUCUUGUAUCCUAAUCUGAUAACAUGCAUAAAUGUGGAUGGAAUAGGGGCAUAUGACUGGUUCAAUCAAGGCCAUGCUCCUGCUGUGACAUUUUAAUGCUAACGAAUAAGAUAGCAGCAUCGAUGAAAACAGCCUGAACAUAACCCAGGUAACUUAUGUCAGUUGUACUUACAUUUUCCAUAUAACACCAUGGUUUUAGGCUUCUAUCAAACUGAUGAAGACUGAAUUUUGUCUAAGUUUUUUUAAAGCAUACUAACAUUCAAGACAAGAUAGCAAUAAACCAAAUCAAUACUUCUAGCUCAUUGGAAUGUCUUCCUGCCUUAUUUUAUCCGGAUUCUUUGAGAAAGAGGUAAGCUCAAUGUUUGUUUCAAUCUAAUUUUUUAGUAUGUUUUAAUUUCUUCGCAUCUGCUGGAGACUUUAAAUUUGAACUAAGUCUCAGGAGAAGCAUUUGAAUUGUUACAGAUACUUUUGGUCUCACCUAACUGUGUGGUAUUUAUAGUUUGCUCAUUUGUAUACAAUCAUCGGCUUUACAACCUUGUUUGCUCAACCCAAAAAAAAGGUGGGCAGAAACUGUCUGUUUCAUCACUCACCAAGCACACCCAACGUACAUUUAAGGAGAACAGCACAAGAAGACAAGAAGCACCUAAACGGAAGUGAAUAAUUAAUUAACCAUGUAAAACCAUGUCCUCACACGUUUAAGUUGUUUACAUUUCCUCAUAAAUGAAUUUGUACCAAUUCAAACAAGCUUGUUAGCAAGUACGAGUAGCAUUUGUGUUAGAAAAAUACAAGAAAAAAGAUCUCUUAAGUUCUCAACUUUUGCUUGAUCUUGUGUGUUAGACUGUUAGUGUUCAUAUGGCGCAUCCCAAAUAUUCCUGUCCUGUAAUUGAACACAGACAGCCCAAAUACUCCUUCUGUAAUUGAACACAAGAAUAUGUUUAGUUGAUGGUCUGGUCAUGGAGCUCAAAUUUGGUUCAACAUGAAUUAUGAUACUGACUGUGUACUCUAGAUAUUUAUGUUUAUUUUUUGCAAAUUUGUUUGUUCAUUUCAGACAUGGAUGCACCCGAUUUUCCCUGCCCUCUUCUAUGCCUGUGAAAGAGUCAUAAGGAAAUUUCAUGAGAACGACUACCAUUCAGGUAUUGUGAGCAAUUUAUCUGGGAGAUGUGCUCUCUAUUCACAUGAAGAAGCCUCGGGGUUUCAAGUACUAAAGUGGAAUGCAUCUUUUUUUUGUAAAAUACCAAGUCUUGCCUUUCGACUGGUAUCAUUUUAUUAAUUAUUGCACACAUAUUCGAGAAGUAAUUUAUCUGUGGUUCUUGCUUACAGUUUUCCCAUAUAUACAGGCACCCCUUCUCUAUAACUCUGGCACCAGGAGAUAACUACUUGACUGUGCAUAUCCGCGCGCUGGGUGACCGGGCAUCCAAACUUUCGAUUCUCUGAGAUUUUGAACUUUGAUGGCAGUGAAAGGGAUCAGGCUCCGAAAACAGGGAGCAAGAAUAUGUGUGUUGUCUUGCAAGUCCUCUUUCACGAACGAGUUGCUUCUUUUAUUUUUUUAACAUCUAAAUAUCCAUUCAAAAUCAUACACAAUACUUCACUUUGUUCUUCAUGUUAUACAGUUCACUAAGUCAAAAGGAACCUUGUGCCUCCUGUGUUUCCAUGAUUUACUAUUGAACAAUGAACAUAUCUGAUUCACAAUGAUUUAGAGAACAAAACAACAAGGGGAUUAACAUUUUACUUUCACUACUUUAGACCAGCACUCUUGUCCGUUUUUUUGUAUCCAAUAAUAAAGGCCAAUUUCUGGCUUCUCUUUGCAAUAUGCUUUGUUGGGAUUGAAUCUAGAACCACUGUUCUUAAUAAUCUAGCACAAAUAUGAACUGCUGCCAACACCACCAUCUUGCUCUUUGUCUUCAAUAUCUAGAACUUUUUUGGCUGGCUGGGGGAGGUGUUCUUAUUUCUGAAUUGAUUCAAGACAUCGAUACUCCCUUAGCCAAGGGUGAAAGGGCUAUAAAGCCAAGAAGACGAAGAAGGGUGAAGAAUUCAGGUUUUCGGAAGCAAUAGUGAAGACUAUUUUUUGGCUUCUCUUUGCAAUAUGCUUUAUUGGGAUUGGAUCCUCGAUCAUUGUUAUUAAUAAUCUAUCACAAAUAUGAGUUGUUGCAGAUCCUAUUGACACAACCAUCUGACUCUCUACCUUCAUUUUUUUGCAAUUUUUGGUUGCCUGGGAGGUGUUGUUGUUCCUGAGUAUCUUGUCAGGUAACAUGAUAUUUCAUAUUUACUCUUGAAAAUAAUAGCUUUUGUAUGGUGAACCAUGCACAAUUAAACAUAGAAAAAUCAUGUUCCUUUUGUGUGAUUCGGUGGAAUCCAACGAUAAGAUGUCUGUUACUGUCAAACUGUGUAUGAAUGAUUUAGUCUACAUUUUGGAAGUGUCAUUCACAGUUGAUUUAAUUUAUUGUUCUAUGUUGAGAACAAGAGGUUCGAAUAAUACAUAUGUUGACUACAGACUGCUCAAAUCGAUUCAAGCAUACGUGCUUGAUUUUUGAGUUUCGAGCUGUUAAUGCACCUAUGGUAUCUACAUAAACGUUACUGGUUAAGGUGUGUAUGUGGGUAUGCAUCAUGGGUUGUUUGUUAUUAGCAUUGAUGGACAAGCUGUGUCUAUCUCUAAUCAGGACAAGAACUAUAUGAAGAUGCAAGUUUGUUCUUAUCAAAUCUUAUUACUUAAAUCUAAGUUUAAUAAAUUUUUUUGGAGGAAACACUCCUCACAGGUUUUUGUUAUCGUCAUAGGCAGUAUAUCACUUAUCCUUAUACCUGCUGCUAGCUGCCAAUUAUAUUAUUGCAAGCCUCCUUCAUGUCUUCUCCCUGUUCAAUGUACUUUGGUAUUCACUUUUGCUAUUGCAUUAUUGAUACUUAUGUUUCUCAAACUUCAUAGGCCUCCUUCAUGUCUUCUCCCUGUUCAAGUGGUGGGCUUGGGAGAUUGGCUCUUGAGAUAUCUUCUCUACGUACAUGUACUAUAAUAAAAUUCUUCAUCUAAAUCUAGCUCAUAUCAUUUAUUUUCUGAUGCUAUAUUUUUAUUGAGAAAUCAAAAUAUCCAUAUGUUGAGAGCAAAUCUUGAUGUAAUCACUACUGAUCAAAGUGCACCUGAGUAUUUUAUGCCUUUAAAUGAGUAGCCGAGGAACUAAAGAA